rnacentral:lncRNA from 1 species
AUGCAUUUUUGGUCAGACGUGAGUUCAGAGAUUUGUUUCACAAGUCAGUUUAAAAAAAAUCCUCCAUUUUUAAAUAAAUUUAUCAAACUGAAACAAAUCUUUGAACUCAUAUCUGAUCAAAGAUGUAAUUUUUUGAAAAAUAAAACCCAUGACUCAAGUUCAUAUGAACUAUAUGAACUUACGUCAUGGGUUAUGAUAGCACAAGCUCAUGUGACAUGAUUGCAGUGUGAUUCUGGACUAAGAUUUGUCCAGAAACACACUGCACUGUCUCUCUUGCGUUGCCGAUAUUUAAGACAUUAUUAAAUAAUAUUUUAAAACUUUUUAAAACGUGUUGUGGUUAUUGUUGUGGAUCGAUUGUACUGUUUUCAUUGCUGUCUGGCAACACUUGAAACAACAGAAAGCACACAAAAAAAGAACAAAGAGGAUUGUUGUAUGUUGAGUUGUAUCUUAUUCGGUUGUAACUUACAAGGGGAGGUCGCAGUUGUCGGGUCCGGGAUUUGGACAGUUUUUAUAUAUGUUGGUCUGCAGUCGGGAU